GUGACUGCAGUGCAUCAUAACAUAUCUUACGUGGGCUGGAAGAGGAUGACAUUGUGUCCUGUCACAUCUUCAAGCUGUAUUCUAAGCAAAUAUUUUGCCUGUGUUGUGUUCAAAAAUGAGACUGAAGGACACACAUCAGGAGAAAAUCAUUUCAUUGGAAGGAGAAGAACAGCUUGUCUGUCUUGAGUUCAGCCAUCACUGCAGUGAUUUGGAAUGGUAACUGCAGGAACAUUCCGUGGAUAUAGCUGUGAGGUAAGAAAACCAUUAGCGGUUUCAGCAGAUAUUUCUGCCAGGGACAUCCAGAUC
rnacentral:lncRNA from 12 species